CGCCGUUGCGAGGUGAUAUUUUAAGAGCACUGUGUUCUUCACGGAACCGGAGCGACCGCGCGCGCAGCGGACAGCGAAUACUCUUAUCAUCGACUUUGGGCUCGAGGCCGCUUCUGGGAGAGAUUAUGAACCGCUGAGCUGCGCGGCCCGCAGGCAGCGGCGUGACGGGACUGCUGACCCCGCUCUUUAACGGGGCUGCUCGGAUCUGUUAGUCAGGUGCGCCGCGCCGAGCGAAGCCCUGGCGGUUUGUUUACGAAUCCUUUGAACUCGAAUUUGAAAUUUGAAAAACGCUCAACUCGAAAACCGUUAACGAGUAACGCGCAGAGCCAAUCCGCUGGACGCCGCGCCGCUGAGCCGCUGAGCCGCUGCAGCUCAAACCCGAGCGCAGCUCGUUAAAGAAACCUGCUGUUCGUUUGGAUUCGCAGGCUCGUCUGUCCGGCCGGUGUCGCCUAAUGAGGAGUUGUUGGAGGACGUGUGUUAGAGAGUGGAGCAAUGUUCAGGUGAACAGAGCAGUGGUCAGAAAGGUGUGUGUGCUGCAGCCCUCAGGAUCUUCCCGCUGAGUGCGCCCUAAUCGGUCAACAACGUCGAAAGUCGCCUACUUUAAGAGGAAGUAUGCGGAAGAGGAGGAUGUCCAAGGAGGCCUACAGGGAUAUUUACAAAAACACCUGAUCUUGCACGAGGAGCGCAGCUGCAUCUUGCGUCUCUCGCUGCAGAAACUGCGUUUCCUGGACGAUCCCGAGGCCUACCUGCGCCGCUCCGUCCUCAUCAACAACCUGCUGCGCAAGAUCCACCUGGACGAGGAUCAGCGUGAGCGAGAGAGGCAGAGGAAUGAAGAGGAGGAAGAGAGGGGUCCGGCCUCGCAGAGACUGUUCUACAUGGGCUGCAAGAGGCUGAAGGUGGUGGUGGCAGAAUGCUGCUCGCAAACCUUCGGCCUCCAGGAGCUCCAGCCGUACAGCCUGCUGCAGUACGCCGCCUCCCCGGCCUCGUGCCCCUGCGGCCUGGCAGGCUGUCCCGCUCUGCCUCCUGACCACAGACCUCCAAUACUGCUCUACCGGCUCAGUGAUAACUGAUGAUGUCCCAGUCCGUUUAAGCAUGAGGUGAAUGUUUGAGCUUGGGUUGACUGAAUGCUGGAGCACUCAGCGCGUACUUAAACGGACUGGGACAUCAUCAAUCGUCAUUGAGCUGGUAGAGCAGUAUUGGAGGUCCGUUGUCAAGAGGCCGUUCGUUUAAGCUUCUUUAAGCGCAGCAUUUGUAGCUGCCAGCCUGUGACUUGAAGCAAACGCCAAGUUGUUGGUGGCACGUUGCAGAGAAAAGAAGGUGGGUUUGGGGCCCCAGCUUUAGAAAACAAGCUCAGAGUCGUGCCUGGGGCUGCACCUUCGGCGAAUCAGGGUCUGCUUUCUUUUCCUACAGAAAAAAAAAACAUGGACUACUUCACUCAAGCCUAACUGCCUCUUAUUGAUCUUAAAUGCAAGACCUUUAGGACUUUUAUUUUGCUUUUUAAAAAAAAAAAAAGAUAUAUCACCUAUCUAAGCAUUUUUUCAGGGAUUGAAAAAAAAGAAAAAUAAAGCCAU